GACGAACGCUGGCGGCGUGCCUAAUACAUGCAAGUCGAGCGCAGGGAGCCAUCUGAACCCUUCGGGGGGACGACGGUGGAAUGAGCGGCGGACGGGUGAGUAACACGUAAAGAACCUGCCCAUAGGUCUGGGAUAACCACGAGAAAUCGGGGCUAAUACCGGAUGUGUCAUCGGACCGCAUGGUCCGCUGAUGAAAGGCGCUCCGGCGUCGCCCAUGGAUGGCUUUGCGGUGCAUUAGCUAGUUGGUGGGGUAACGGCCCACCAAGGCGACGAUGCAUGGCCGACCUGAGAGGGUGAUCGGCCACACUGGGACUGAGACACGGCCCAGACUCCUACGGGAGGCAGAAGUAGGGAAUCUUCCACAAUGGACGAAAGUCUGAUGGAGCAACGCCGCGUGAACGAUGAAGGCUUUCGGGUCGUAAAGUUCUGUUGUAAGGGAAGAACAAGUGCCGCAGGCAAUGGCGGCACCUUGACGGUACCUUGCGAGAAAGCCACGGCUAACUACGUGCCAGCAGCCGCAGUAAAAC
rnacentral:rRNA from 1 species